ACAAACUUNUUGAUAGCUAUACUGACAAUCGAGCGCGACUUCUCCUUCCGCGGAAGUUAGCGGCGGACGGGUGAGUAACACGUAGGCAACCUGCCCACAAGACCGGGAUAACAUUCGGAAACGAAUGCUAAGACCGGAUACGCAAGCCUGGGGCAUCCCGGGCUUGGGAAACACGGCGCAAGCUGUGGCUUGCGGAUGGGCCUGCGGCGCAUUAGCUAGUUGGCGGGGUAACGGCCCACCAAGGCGACGAUGCGUAGCCGACCUGAGAGGGUGAACGGCCACACUGGGACUGAGACACGGCCCAGACUCCUACGGGAGGCAGCAGUAGGGAAUCUUCCACAAUGGGCGAAAGCCUGAUGGAGCAACGCCGCGUGAGUGAGGAAGGCUUUCGGGUCGUAAAGCUCUGUUGCCAGGGAAGAAUAAGGGCCAGUUAACUGCUGGUCCGAUGACGGUACCUGAGAAGAAAGCCCCGGCUAACUACGUGCCAGCAGCCGCGGUAAUACGUAGGGGGCAAGCGUUGUCCGGAAUUAUUGGGCGUAAAGCGCGCGCAGGCGGUUCUUUAAGUCUGGCGUAUAAGUGCGGGGCUCAACCCCGUGAGGCACUGGACACUGGGGAACCUUGAGUGGCAAAAGAAGAGAGCGGAAUUCCACGUGUAGCGGUGAAAUGCGUACAGAUUGUGAAGAACACCCAGUGGCGAAGGGGGCUCUCUGGACUGUAACUGACCCUGAAGCGCGAAAGCCUGGGGGAGCAAACCGGAUUAAAUACCCUGGUAAUCCACGCCGUAAAACAUGAAUGGUAAGCGGUUGGGGGAGGUCCACCCCUUCGGGGCCAAAUUAAACCAUUUAACACUUCCCCCUGGGGAGAACCCUCCCCAAAGUGAACCCCAAGGAAUUGGGGCGGGAACCCCCACAAUCGUGGAA
rnacentral:rRNA from 1 species